rnacentral:rRNA from 1 species
UUUUUUUUUUUCCCUCCUGCCUCAACUGAUUUUUAAAUUGCUGUGGUAUUUUGACUAUACAAAGGUAUUGAAAUAAGAUUUUAAUUGAAUGCUAAGAGAAUGGAAGUCCAGAAAAAAACUUUUUUUAAAUUAAAAAUUGAAGUUUUUUUAAUUUGUGCAGAAACAAUUAUUUAUAUUAAAGACAAGAAGACCCUAUGAAUUUAUUAAAUUUUUAUUUAAUAUGUAAUUACUAUUAGAAAAAUUUUGGCUGGGGCGGCUAGAAAAUAUUAUGAACUUUUUAAAAAUAAAAUGAUCCAUUAUUAAUGAUUUUAUGUUAAAUACUCUAGGGAUAACAGCGUUAUAUUUUUUGAUAGAUCAUAUUGACAAAAAAGUUUGCGACCUCGAUGUUGGAUUAGGAUACUUUUUUAAUGAAGAUAUAAAAAAAGAAGUUGUUCCAACC